UCUGUAGGUGAACCUGCAGAUGGAUCAUUU
rnacentral:rRNA from 1 species